rnacentral:rRNA from 1 species
UACGUAGGGGGCAAGCGUUGUCCGGAUUUAUUGGACGUAAAGAGCGUGUAGGCGGCCUGGUAGGUCAGCUGUGAAAACUCGAGGCUCAACCUCGAGACGCCGGUUGAAACCAUCAGGCUAGAGUCCGGAAGAGGAGAGUGGAAUUCCCGGUGUAGCGGUGAAAUGCGCAGAUAUCGGGAAGAACACCCGUGGCUAAGGCGGCUCUCUAGUACGGUACUGACGCUGAGACGCGAAAGCGUGGGGAGCGAACAGG